ACGGAAGGCAGCAGUGGGGAAUAUUGCACAAUGGAGGAAACUCUGAUGCAGCAACGCCGCGUGAGGGAAGAAGGUUUUCGGAUUGUAAACCUCUGAUAAGAGUGACGAAACAAAUGACGGUAGCUCAAGAGAAAGCCACGGCUAACUACGUGCCAGCAGCCGCGGUAAUACGUAGGUGGCGAGCGUUAUCCGGAUUUACUGGGUGUAAAGGGUGCGCAGGCGGGAUCUUAAGUUGGAUGUGAAAUACUGAGGCUCAACCUCGGAACUGCAUCCAAAACUGAGAUUCUUGAGUGAAGUAGAGGUAGGCGGAAUUCCGAGUGUAGCGGUGAAAUGCGCAGAUAUUCGGAGGAACACCGGUGGCGAAGGCGGCCUACUGGGCUUAAACUGACGCUGAGGCACGAAAGCAUGGGGAGCAAACAGGAUUAGAUACCCUGGUA
rnacentral:rRNA from 1 species